rnacentral:misc_RNA from 1 species
CUAAAAAAAUUAAGAAACACAAGACAAACAGAAUGUCAAGAGAAUGUGAAUAUCCAAUCUCAUAUGAUUUUGGAGAAAGAAAAAGUCAUCAGAAUCAAGCCCUUAACUUACCACAGAAUCAAAACAAUUAUACAAAGAGAAAAAGGAAGUAAGAAAAAUGAAACAUAUAAUUCACUAAGGAAAUAGAGAAUAGAAGCAGAAAAUCACAGAACACGAUAAUUUCAAUCAAACUAUAGUCCUGCUUUUAGCUGACUGUCAUAGAAAAAAAUCACAAUAAGAGAAACCCAUUUCUUAAAUCAAACGAGAAACAAAACACAACUAUAUUGAUUAGAUUAAAC